rnacentral:rRNA from 1 species
UACAGAGGUCUCAAGCGUUGUUCGGAUUCACUGGGCGUAAAGGGUGCGUAGGUGGUUGCGCAAGUCUGAUGUGAAAUCUCCGGGCUCAACCCGGAAAUGGCAUUGGAAACUGCGUGGCUAGAGGGUUGGAGGGGGGACUGGAAUACUUGGUGUAGCAGUGAAAUGCGUAGAUAUCAAGUGGAACACCAGUGGCGAAGGCGAGUCCCUGGACAACACCUGACACUGAGGCACGAAAGCUAGGGGAGCAAACAGG